rnacentral:lncRNA from 1 species
GUGGUGUCUGUAGAAAUCCGGAGAGAUGUUUAAUUUGUAAAGCCUACAUAUUUGGUUCAGAGUUGUUGUGAGUAGAGAAACAAUUUCUCUGCUAGCACUGUAUAUGACAUUGUGUUCAAUAAAUAUUUCACAAUACUUAAAAUAAUAAAGUCUAUAGAGUAAUAAAAUGACACCCAGAGGAGCCAUUCUUUGAAAGAUAUUUUUGACAAGUUAAUAACUGAAAUCAUGGAGCAUCAGUAAGAACUCAACUCAGAUUUGAUGUCACAACUGCAAUUUCAGAAUGAAGUGGUACAUAAAAUUGCAUAUCCUGUGAACAAAUUUUGUCAUUUUCAAGUACUUUUUUUUGGAAGAACAUUACACAGAUUGUCAUGUGCUAGGCAUUUUACUGGUCCAUACUGUUAGGAAAAAGGAAUGCUUUUGAAUUUGCCAUGACUUCUCCAUGUCACAAGAACCUCAAGACUUUUCUCACUAAGUAAACAAAUGUAGUGCACUUCUCGGAAGGUCUAAUUGUUUUAUUAUAAAAAUGCCUGCAGGAUCCACUUGAGGGGAUGUUAAUCAAUAAAUACUUUCUCUAUUUUGUUUGAACUAUUAGGGAAGUUUUCUUAAAAGGAUGAAGUGAAGUCAGUCCUAUAUAUUUACAAAUGAUUACAUUAUAGACUGAUAAGAAGGGAACUGGCCUGAAAGUAAAUGAAUUAUGAUACACUUAGUAUGAAAGCAUGAUUAUAAGACAGAACUCAGGUCUAGUUCUGUAACUUUCAUGUAAUUUCUCAUACAAAAAGUUCUUAAUUUCUGAACGAUAGUACUUAGAGGAAGACAAAUAGAAAGUAGCUCCAAUUUUUUUCCAAGUUUUUUUUUUAUACCUUUAUUUUAUUUAUUUUUAUGUGGUACUGAGGAUUGAACCCAGUGCCUCACACAUACCAGGUGAAUGCUCCACCACUGAUUCACAGCCCCAGACCAGAAAGUAGCUCCAAUUUUGAGUUGGAAAAUUGCAUACUGAUUUGAAGUUGAUGCUUUCCUAAUUAACUCCACGAAAUAUUAAGUAGAAACGUUUGAUAACCAGUUUAGUCUAAUUAAUAUUUUGUAAGGUGUUUAUAAAUAUCACUAGGUAUGUAUGACGCACUAAUGCAUGGAUUGUCUGUAUGAAUCACAAAGAUAAAAUAAUUUGAUAAAAUCACUAGAGUUCAAAGGUAUUCUUUGAGAUAACUGUGUAAAAUAUACACAAUUUAAAGUAGUAUGAUCAUGGCAUUUGCAGGUAAAUGGAUGGUGUUGGAGAAAAUAAUGCAAAGUGAGGUUAGCCAAUCCCAAAAAUACAAAUGUCGAAUGUUUUCUCUGAUAUAAGGAGGCUGACUCAUAGUGGGGUAGGGAGGCGUGGAAGGAUUAGAUGAAUUCUAG